UACGUAGGUGGCAAGCGUUGUCCGGAUUUAUUGGGUUUAAAGGGUGCGUAGGUGGCCCUGUAAGUCAGUGGUGAAAUAUCUCAGCUUAACUGAGAGGGUGCCAUUGAUACUGCAGGGCUUGAGUACAGAUGAGGUAGGCGGAAUUGACGGUAUAGCGGUGAAAUGCAUAGAUAUCGUCAAGAACACCGAUAGCGAAGGCAGCUUACCAAGCUGUAACUGACACUGAGGCACGAAAGUGUGGGGAUCAAACAGG
rnacentral:rRNA from 1 species